UACAGAGGGUGCGAGCGUUAAUCGGAAUUACUGGGCGUAAAGGGCUCGUAGGCGGUUUGUCGCGUCGGGAGUGAAAUCCACUGGCUUAACUGGUGGCUUGCUUUCGAUACGGGCAGACUGGAGGUAUGCAGGGGAGAACGGAAUUCCUGGUGUAGCGGUGAAAUGCGCAGAUAUCAGGAAGAACACCAAUGGCGAAGGCGGCUCUCUGGAACGCAACUGACGCUGAGACGCGAAAGCAUGGGGAGCGAACAGG
rnacentral:rRNA from 1 species